GAUGAACGCUGACAGAAUGCUUAACACAUGCAAGUCAACUCUGGCGGACGGGUGAGUAACGCGUAAAGAACUUGCCUCACAGCUAGGGACAACAUUUGGAAACGAAUGCUAAUACCUGACCCUGUGAGAGUGCUUUGCGUCCCAUUAGCUAGUUGGAGAGGUAAUGGCUCACCAAGGCGAGGAUGGGUAGCCGGCCUGGGAUGGUGAUCGGCCCCAAGGGGACUGAGACACCGCCCUUACUGCUACGGGAGGCAGGAGUGGGGACGAUUGGAAACUGGGCCAAAGUCUGAUCAAGCAAUUCUGUGUGCACGAUGCAGUUUUCGGGAUGUAAAGUGCUUUCAGUUGGGAAGCGGUACCAACAGAAGAAGUGACGGCUAAAUACGUGCCAGCAGCCGCGGUAAUAC
rnacentral:rRNA from 1 species